rnacentral:rRNA from 1 species
UACAGAGGUCUCAAGCGUUGUUCGGAUUCACUGGGUUUAAAGGGUGCGUAGGUGGGCAGUUAAGUCAGUGGUGAAAUCUCCGGGCUCAACCCGGAAACUGCCAUUGAUACUAUCUGUCUUGAAUAUCGUGGAGGUAAGCGGAAUAUGUCAUGUAGCGGUGAAAUGCUUAGAUAUGACAUAGAACACCAAUUGCGAAGGCAGCUUACUACCCGAAUAUUGACACUGAGGCACGAAGGCGUGGGGAUCAAACAGG